rnacentral:rRNA from 1 species
CGGGGGGCUGCAGCAAGGAAUUUUCGGCAAUGGGCGCAAGCCUGACCGAGCAACGCCGCGUGGAGGACGACGGCCUUCGGGUUGUAAACUCCUUUUACGGGGGACGACAUCGACUGUACCCCGCGAAUCAGGCUCGGCUAACUCUGUGCCAGCAGCCGCGGUAAGACAGAGGAGCCAAGCGUUGUCCGGAUUGACUGGGCGUAAAGCGCACGCAGGCGGCUGGGCACGUGGGGUGUGAAACCUGGCGGCUUAACUGCCAGACGCCAUCCCAUACGGCCCGGCUCGAGGCAGGCAGAGGUUCGUGGAAUUGCCGGUGUAGUGGUGAAAUGCGUAGAGAUCGGCAGGAACACCAAGGGCGAAAGCAGCGAACUGGGCCUGGUCUGACGCUCAGGUGCGAAAGCGUGGGGAGCGAACCGGAUUAGAUACCCCGGUAGUC